rnacentral:tRNA from 1 species
GGCCUGAUGGUCUAGUGGUGUAAGUAGCGUCCAACGCCUCGCUCUCCGCCCAUAUCUAACAACCCCCCCAGAUGAUUGUCGCUUCGGGUUAUCUUUACCUGGAUACAGUGUAUCUGUUCUGUGACAGGCCCCGGGUUCGAAUCCCGGUCAGGCCC